rnacentral:misc_RNA from 1 species
GAUGAAGAACGUAGCGAAAUGCGAUAAGUAAUGUGAAUUGCAGAAUUCAGUGAAUCAUCGAAUCUUUGAACGCACAUUGCGCCCCUUGGUAUUCCGAGGGGCAUGCCUGUUCGAGCGUCAUAUAACCCUCAAGCUCAGCUUGGUGUUGGGGCCUGCUGCACUGGCAGCCCUUAAAAUCAGUGGCGGCGCCAUCUGGCUCUAAGCGUAGUAAUUCUUCUCGCUAUGGAGUCCUGGUGGAUGCUUGCCAUCAACCCCCAAUUUUUCUAUGGUUGACCUCGGAUCAGGUAGGGAUACCCGCUGAACUUAAGCAUAUCAAUAAGCGGAGGA